rnacentral:rRNA from 1 species
AGGACAAACGCUGGCGGAAUGUAUUAGGCAUGCAAGUCGUACGAACCUUCGGGUUAGUGGCGAACGGGUGAGUAACACGUGGGUAACCUGCCUCGUAGUGGGGAAUAACUCGCCGAAAGGCGAGCUAAUACCGCAUAACACCUCUGGUGAGAUUCCAGAUGGUAAAAGCUCCGGCGCUACGAGAGGGGCCCGCGGUCGACUAGCUAGUUGGUGGGGUAACGGCCUACCAAGGCGACGAUCGAUAGCU